rnacentral:tRNA from 1 species
GUCUCCGUGGCGAAAUGGAUAGCGCGUCGGAUUUCUAUUCCGAAGGUUGGGGGUUCGAGUCCCGCCGGGGAUG